rnacentral:rRNA from 1 species
CGCUUAACAUGCAGUCGAGCGAGAAAGGGGAGCAAUCCCUGAGUACAGCGGCGAUACGGGCCCNUUNACACGCUGGGUAAUCUACCUUUUAGUGGGGAAUAACUCCUGGGAAACCGGAGCUAAUACCGCAUAAUCCUGUGAAGGGAAAGCAGCAAUGCGCUGAAAGAGGAGCCCGCGGCCGAUUAGCUAGUUGGUGAGGUAACGGCCCACCAAGGCUGAGAUCGGUAGCCGGCCUGAGAGGGCACACGGCCACACUGGCACUGAAACACGGGCCAGACUCCUACGGGAGGCAGCAGUGGGGAAUCUUGCACAAUGGGGGCAACCCUGAUGCAGCGACGCCGCGUGAGCGAUGAAGCCCUUCGGGGUGUAAAGCUCUUUCGACGGGAACGAUAAUGACGGUACCCGGAGAAGAAGCUGCGGNUAACUACGUGCCAGCAGCCGCGGUAAUACGUAGGCAGCAAGCGUUGUUCGGAGUUACUGGGCGUAAAGAGUGCGUAGGCGGUUUCGUAAGUUUGGUGUGAAAUCUCCCGGCUUAACUGGGAGGGUGCGCCGAAAACUGCGGGGCUGGANUNUGGGAGAGGUAAGCGGAAUUCCUGGUGUAGCGGUGAAAUGCAUAUAUAUCANGAGNAACACCGGCGGUGUAGACCGNUUUACUGGACCUUGACUGACNCUUGAAGCUNAGAAAGCGUGGGGGAGCAAANCAGGAUUAGAUACCCCUGGUUNNUCCCACGCCCUAAACCGAUGCACAAUUUGGUGUGGAGCGAUUCAUUUUCCUUCGGUGCCCGAACUUAACCCCUUUUAAUUGUGCCUCCCUGGGUANUUCCGGUCCCAAGGCCUAAAACUCAAAAGAAAUUUAA